rnacentral:rRNA from 1 species
AUUGAACGCUGGCGGAAUGCUUUACACAUGCAAGUCGAACGGCAGCACGGGGGCAACCCUGGUGGCGAGUGGCGAACGGGUGAGUAAUACAUCGGAACGUGCCCAUGUCGUGGGGGAUAACGUAGCGAAAGCUACGCUAAUACCGCAUACGAUCUACGGAUGAAAGCGGGGGAUCGCAAGACCUCGCGCGAUUGGAGCGGCCGAUGGCAGAUUAGGUAGUUGGUGGGGUAAAGGCUCACCAAGCCAACGAUCUGUAGCUGGUCUGAGAGGACGACCAGCCACACUGGGACUGAGACACGGCCCAGACUCCUACGGGAGGCAGCAGUGGGGAAUUUUGGACAAUGGGCGAAAGCCUGAUCCAGCCAUUCCGCGUGCAGGAUGAAGGCCCUCGGGUUGUAAACUGCUUUUGUACGGAACGAAAAGCCUUCUUCUAAUACAGGAGGGUCAUGACGGUACCGUAAGAAUAAGCACCGGCUAACUACGUGCCAGCCGCCGCCGUAACAC